UCACCAGAGCCAAAAUCAAGAUUCUGACUGGGCCACCCAGCCGCCCCUAGAUCUCUUUUAAGAUGUCGAUGAAUGUGCGGUGGUGAAUGGAGGCUGCCAGCAGCGCUAUAUUAACACUCUGGGCACCUUCCACUGUGAAUGUGAUACGGGAUACAGACUCCAUGCUGACGAACGCACCUGCAUAAGAAAUGAGAGAAGGCCAAGGGAAACAGGUACAGAUGUCCUCGUCAUAGGUCUGAUUUUGAUAUGAGAAAAUGGGGUUCGGACAGCAACAAAAAGACUUUGCCAAAAUCGAGCGAAAAUACAGAUAGAAGUCAUACCCAAGCAACCAGGGAACUCAAUAGCAUAAUGAUUAUAUCUACAGGAAUCACAAAUGGUGGGACAGCAGCCCAUGCAUAUUUAUGUAACCCAAAUAGCCCCUUCUUUUUGCAAGAUUACUGGUUUUAGCAACAGGAAUCCCUUUCCCAUCCACAUCCCCAGCCUGUAAGGUCUUCAGGGUAGCAUCCUUUAAACUGCCAUUCUAACUUCUCUCAGUCACAAAAUAUUUGGGAGCAGCAGGAUUAUUGAUACAUACAGAUGAGGUAUUUAUCAGUUAAGGUUGAGCUGGUGAAUUUUUGUAUCUGAUAGACAAAUAUUUUGCCAAGUAGUAAUUUCUAUAAAUCUAUGAUAUCUGGUCUUUUUGAUAAGGCCAAAUAAACACUCUAAUAACCAACUAAAUUAUAUACACAGGUAUAAUUUCCUAAGUUUUGGUGGUUAAUAGCUAUUUCUUAGUAAAAUCAUUAAGCACUUUUCUUAUUCCUGACCGCCAUUGCCCUUGAAUUUUCUAAAUUUUGUUCUAAUGACUUCGGGUCAAGAGUGGAGUUGGAUAAGGAUAUUAUGGUUUAUCUUUUCUAUUUCUAUUCCGUAAAAGUCCUGCUGUGCAGAUACAUGGACACUACAGUUAUAGCUUAGUUUAAGUUCCUUAUGCUGAUCUUCUAUGCAGAAUUUCAGCAUAGUAUACAAAUUAUAUAUAUAUAUAUAUAUAUAUAUAUAUAUAUAUAUAUAUAUAUAUAUGGUGCAAAGUAAGCUAAUGAGAGGUAUGGAUUUCAUGGCUAUAAUCUUUUUAAAGCAUUAACCCCACAGAUGUGACUCUACUGAUGGUACAUGACUGAGACCCAGCACUUGACCUUUAUGGAAAUUCUGAUGCCUCUCUCACAUAAAACACUGAAGGGCCUUAAGAAUCUCAGGUGAUACAAUUACAGCAUUCUUGUUAAAAUGAGUUAGAGAAGAAUUUAAGUACUUUGUAUUUAAAGACUAAUACUGGGGGCG